rnacentral:rRNA from 1 species
GUAACCUGCCCUUAACUCUGGGAUAAGCCUUGGAAACGAGGUCUAAUACUGGAUAUUGACUUUACCUCGCAUGGGGUUUUGUUGAAAGAUUUAUUGGUUUUGGAUGGACUCGCGGCCUAUCAGCUUGUUGGUGAGGUAAUGGCUCACCAAGGCGACGACGGGUAGCCGGCCUGAGAGGGUGACCGGCCACACUGGGACUGAGACACGGCCCAGACUCCUACGGGAGGCAGCAGUGGGGAAUAUUGCACAAUGGGCGAAAGCCUGAUGCAGCGACGCCGCGUGAGGGAUGACGGCCUUCGGGUUGUAAACCUCUUUCAGUAGGGAACAAGGCCAAUGUUUAGUUGGUUGAGGGUACUUGCAGAAGAAGCGCCGGCUAACUACGUGCCAGCAGCCGCGGUAAUACGUAGGGCGCAAGCGUUAUCCGGAAUUAUUGGGCGUAAAGAGCUCGUAGGCGGUUUGUCGCGUCUGCCGUGAAAGUCCGGGGCUCAACUCCGGAUCUGCGGUGGGUACGGGCAGACUAGAGUGAUGUAGGGGAGACUGGAAUUCCUGGUGUAGCGGUGAAAUGCGCAGAUAUCAGGAGGAACACCGAUGGCGAAGGCAGGUCUCUGGGCAUUAACUGACGCUGAGGAGCGAAAGCAUGGGGAGCGAACAGGAUUAGAUACCCUGGUAGUCCAUGCCGUAAACGUUGGGCACUAGGUGUGGGGGACAUUCCACGUUUUCCGCGCCGUAGCUAACGCAUUAAGUGCCCCGCCUGGGGAGUACGGCCGCAAGGCUAAAACUCAAAGGAAUUGACGGGGGCCCGCACAAGCGGCGGAGCAUGCGGAUUAAUUCGAUGCAACGCGAAGAACCUUACCAAGGCUUGACAUGAAC